rnacentral:rRNA from 1 species
CCUACGGGUGGCUGCAGUGGGGAAUAUUGGACAAUGGGGGGAACCCUGAUCCAGCCAUGCCGCGUGUGUGAAGAAGGCCCUCGGGUUGUAAAGCACUUUCAGUGAGGAAGAACGCCUGGUGGUUAAUACCCAUCAGGAAAGACAUCACUCACAGAAGAAGCACCGGCUAACUCCGUGCCAGCAGCCGCGGUAAUACGGAGGGUGCGAGCGUUAAUCGGAAUUACUGGGUGUAAAGCGCGCGUAGGUGGCUUGAUAAGCCGGUUGUGAAAGCCCCGGGCUCAACCUGGGAACGGCAUCCGGAACUGUCAAGCUAGAGUGCAGGAGAGGAAGGUAGAAUUCCCGGUGUAGCGGUGAAAUGCGUAGAGAUCGGGAGGAAUACCAGUGGCGAAGGCGGCCUUCUGGACUGACACUGACACUGAGGUGCGAAAGCGUGGGUAGCAAACAGGAUUAGAUACCCUAGUAGUC